ACCUGUUAGAUGAAAGAUAACACUAGCCCAUUGAUGGCUAUGCUGGAAGGAAAACCCAGGGGUGGUGAGGUGAAUUCUCCCUCAUCUCUGAAUCCCAGUGCUGGGCUGCCUCGUGCCACGGUCAUUAACCAGAGGUAUUUGUAUUUAAUUUUAAAAUUUAAUCUCCAGUCCCUCAUCACACCAGGCACAUUUCCAGUGCCCAGUGGCCCUGCACUCGCAACACAGAGGGAACAUUCCUGUCUGUGCAGAACAGGCUUGCGGCAGCAGCUCCAACCUGGCACAGGGUCUGUUUGUGAGUCACCGACCUGAACACUGCCUGAGCUUGGAUUGGCAACAGGAGACAUUCCAGCAGUGAUGAUGACGACGCUCCAGAUAGAUGGGCACCCUAGAGAAGGGACACCAUGGAAGUGGCUUCUUAGGAACAGUCCACCCAGACCUGCAGCUUUGGAGACCAGUGAAAGAAGAGGGGAAUGAAAUUUCUAAAAAAAGAAAAAAAUGUGUUAUGUUUAAAUGUUAAUGACAG